CAACAAAUACAAAUCCAAGAGAGAACAUCAGUUAUAAAUACAGGUCAAUUCAUCAAAUCACCUUUCUUUUUUCUGCUGAAUCUUACUGGCAGUGAAUCGAUCAAUACUAAUUUUACAUGGUACCGGAGCCCGGCCGGCAGCUCGCCAUGGCAUCUAGAUGGACGACAAAGUCGUGUACACGCAGACAAACUGACAAGUUAUGACUUAUGAGAGGUUCUUCCAUGCAUUGCAGACUACAUUCCUCAUUAUUGUGGAAAUUACACGCGUAUAGUUGUAACUGGCUUGAUUUCUUGAUUAUUUUGCUGAAGGUGCAUCUGGCUGAUUCUGGGGCAGUGCGGCUUGAAAUGCCGGAAUUUCCAUGUAGGCAUCGUGAAGUCGCGACAAGGUUGGGUACUUCGUCUGCAAGAAAAGGAAAGCUUGUUGCUGUUGGUUUUCUGAUGAGUAUGUAGGGUGAGAGCAGCAGAAAUCUUAAUUUGCACAAAGAAUAUCAGAGAGGAAGUGGAUACCAUAUCAAUCUGGAAGCGAUUGAUGGCGGCAUGGAUCUGUGGGGCUAGACACACAUCUCCCUGCCAAGGCCACAAAUGUACAUGUAUCAGAAAUUCAGAAUAUAUAGUUCAAGAUUAGUAUUAGUAGUAGCACAUUCAGUAAUAAUAGUGACAUGAUAAUUAAGGAAAUGGGGAGUCCGGAAUGGAAUUUUGAAAUAUGUGUGGAGAAAAUUAUGCAUGAUCAAUUUGGUCAUGUUGACUUGGAAGUUCAUUUCGAGGUGACUGAUCAAGGAAAAGCAUCAAACAUGUAGUAUCAGUGAAGAAGUAUGUAGGCUCAGAAACACAAACCAAAUGGACUUCAUCUCCGACGCAAUAUUUGCUGUCACAUCCAUCCAAGAGCUUUUCUAUUGCUGCAACAAAUAGUAAGAGCAGACCAAGAGUAAGAUUAUUUUGGUCAACUGAACAAAUAAUAAGUAUGGUUGACGGCGGUCAGAACUCAGAACAGCACAACUGAACAUCUCUCUGUCACAUAUGAUCGAAGAAUGGCUAAGAGAAAAGGAAGUCUAGAGGAAAACAGAGAGAGAUUCCAAAUUUCUUUUUUCUCAAAUCUGCAGGUAUAUAACUGUGCAGACAGUAUGUUGCAAAAUAUCGCACCUUUGAAGCCCUUGUCAAUAUAACGUUGAACCACCUCAAGGCUCUCAUCGGGGCUCAACCUACCCUCAUGCAAACCCUGCAAAGUAAACAAAUAUAAAUAGUGCACACACAAACACUGUCAAACUCGUACUGAAAUAAUCGUUGAAAAUUAAGACGAAAUCUUGUCAGCGGUAGCUAACUCUCGGUAAAAACCCACAAUUACGCCGUAGCCUUGGAGAGGUUGGAUGCUUGAGCAAACUAUGUUCGCAAUCUGCAACAAGCAAAAAAUGUAAUUAGCUACUCCAUAUGGAGUUACCGAUAAGUGUGCUGAACAACUAUGGUUCAAAAAAAGAGUUUUGAACAACUAUGGUUCAUGUGAUUAACAAGACACAGAAGUAGAACUAUAGAAGAGAUUUUUCUACUCCCUCUGUUCACUUUUGUAAGACGUUUUAGACAGCUGAAAUUGAACUGUUUUAGGUGUUGUCUUAAAUGUCUAAAACGUCUUACAAAAGCGAACGGAGGGAGUAGAAAAAAGAGCCAAAGAAGAUCUUUAGCCGGACAUAUACCUGAAGAUCAAGACCUUUCGUUUUGAUAUCUUUAGGUACGAGAGGAUGCUGAGGAUACUUAUCUUCCAGAUACUGCUCAGUGCAUUAGAAAGACGCUUGUUAACUAGUAACAGAGGGACAGGAAUGCUGAAGAAACACAUUCUUAAUCCACUGAAGCAAGAAUUGUGACUCACCAACAUGAUAGCGAGAGAAUCAGAUAGAACAAAGUCCCCAUCUACCAAUGCUGGUAUGUAUUUGAUCGGGUUUAUUUUUUCAUAGUCUGCAAUAAGAAAUCCAUAACGGUGAAUUCUCCUAAAGCAGAAUACAAAUUAUGCGUUUUUCAACAUUCCGUAGAUUUCAGCAUCGGGAAUAGAUGGGUACAACAUGCAUUGCAAUUGUAUCAUUGAUUAAGCCAAGAUUUUCAUCAUCAAAGAUGGUGCACAAAGUUGUUAUAGCAGACUAAGCUAAUGUCCAGGGAAGGAAUAGUCUAUGCGCAGUUCCCUGCAGAUUAGGCAGCUACUAGCCUAGUAAUAAGGCAUAAGUAGGCAUGCAUCACGAGGCAACUCUGACCAGUUGGCAUUUUGAGCUCUCAUCAAUUGCAAACCGGAAAUGAGAUGUUUAAAAAAAAACGGGAUGAGAUGGCUUUAUAAUUACUAUGCGGAUGUUAUCUGGUAAAUAUGAGUACCUGGAUCUGUCCGAGGAUUGACUGCCUUGUACUCAUAGUCCACACCUGCACCAUAGAGAGAAUGAAUUAAUUAGUUUCCUGAACAAGAGCCUACAACUUUUAUCAUUUAAGUGUGCGCCGAAAUUACUACAUCUAGUUUGCUCUGCAUUAAUCAUUUUUCUCGAACACACACCUAAGUGUGCAUCAUAAUUAUUGUUAGAAGGGAGAGAGGGAUUUGGUGGAAUUGUUCAUUGUAUUGCUUGAGCCUCGUGGGCAUAUAUAUAGGAGUACAAGGCAAGCCAGAAUAUUUCCUAGUCUAACCUAUGUUUCCUAAUACAAUCACGUUACUCAACAAUUAUGAUAUUCAUUUACAUGUUCCAGACCCAAAACAAAUACACAACUGGUGGCAUCUGAAAUGUUCCCAACUGAAGAGUGUUCAGAAUCUAGAAUAUACAUAAUCAACUCUAAGACCAUAGGGAUGGAGAAGCUGAAUUAGGACUAAUCCGGGGCUAACAUAAUCAAGAAAAAAGGAACAGAUGAAGCUCCAAACCUCAAGAAGUACUCACCUUUGAGAUUGAGAGCGAUCCGGACACGGUGAGAGCAAGAGCUGAUCCAGGCGCCGUACAGGAUGGGCUUGGCCGUCGCCAUUGCUGCCUGCUACCCCUUUCUCCUCUUCCUCCACUACUAGAUGGAGACGAUGCAGCAGUAUGUGACUAUAUUUAUUGGUAUGAAGAGCCGGAGAAGGGAUUGUUCUUCUCCUCUCCUCAUGUGAACAGAGAGAGCACCGUGCAGAAAACUGGUGUGAGCAGAGCACAAGGGGACAAGAGCAGAAGAUGCUACCCAAGCCUGAGUAUCAGACUGAUUAUGUAGGGCCCACCAGAUGCCCCCAGAGUCAGGGAGAUGAAGUCACCUUGGACUAGGUGUAUGAUUGAUUGAUUGUUGGUGGGUAGAGAAAAGAACAAAAUGAGAAGAUAAGGCCAUCCCAAAAUGAUAUGUUAAUCGAUGAUGUCUUUUUCGGCUUGACAACAGGGAAAUAAUGUUUGACUCGUCUUCUUCCCUUUCUUCUCUUUAUUGAUACUAGAAUUUUACACUGGCACAUACGAUAAAUUGCAUUUAUUCACUUUUACAGCAAUGUCGUCAAGCUCAUCCAGGGGUCUUUGCUUACAUGAGCAUCUAACUUUGAAAUUACAUCAUAGAAUCUCGAUCAAACAUGAAAAAUCUUACAGUCAUCGAGGUCCUGAUUACUUUACUGGGAUGGAGGAGCAUCUGGUUGGUUCGCAGGAAGUGCGGCUUGAAAUGCAGGAUGCUCAUUGUAAGCGUCUUGAAGCCUUGCCAAAAUAGGGUACUUUGACUGCCAGAGAAAAUAUCAAUACAAGCUUAUAACUCUGGUUUCUGAAUAAUCAGUGCAAGACAUUUUCACAUUUGCACGUCACAUACAUACUAAGCAACAGAGAGCUUAGAAUAGGGUAACAUUGCAUACCAUAUCGAUUUGGAAGCGUGUCACACCAGCGUGGAUCUGGGGCGCUAAAAACACAUCCGCCUGAAAAUGGCCACAAUAUAUAUAGAACCUACUUAGCUGAUGAUACACUAACAGAGUUAGCAGGAAUGUAAGUAGAGCACUUCAGCACACUCUUCACUGUGACCAGCAUAUUAUGUACUAUCAAAGAACAAAGCCUGGGUUUGAGCUUUGCAGCGCACACCAUUUGAACUUCAUCUCCAGUGGCAUAUUUGCUGUCACAUCCUUCCAGAAGUUUCUCAAUCGCUGAAACAAAAUUAUCGAGGAUAGUUCAGACCAACACGGAUGCUGUAUAUGAUUAUGAACGCGAGACUGAAGCAAGGGGAAAAUUGCAAGUGUUCUAAGCUAUUUGGUAAACUGAGUGGUAGAAAUCGCACCUCUGAAGCCUUUGUCAAUAUAAUAUUGAACCAUCUGAAGGCUCUCAUUGGUGUCCAUUGUGCCAAGAUAUGAACCCUACAAACAAUCAUAUAGAACCAAGCGUAUAUGGAUAUUGUCACACUAUAAUUGAAAGGGAAGUUUAAUUCUAGUCUGAAAAAACUUAAAGAUUCUAUCUGUACGCACAAUGACAGCAUGGCUCUGAAGAGGCUGGAUGCUUGAACACACUAUGCUUGCAAUCUGCAACAAGGGACAAACUUGUUUUACGAAGUACGCAUACUAAAAUGUGUAAUCAACAACAGCACCUACAUAAGUAAGAUAGGUUUCAGCUACAAAUUAGUUAGUGUCUCCAUCUGUUGUAAAACCGUUAACUUACAACAAGUUUCAUCCAAUAAACAUCUAAAACUUAUUUCAGUGCUUCGAAUUGUGUUGUGCUUAUAUAAUUUUAAGCAGACACAAUAGUACCUGCAAAUUAAGAGCUUUCUUUUUCAGAUCUCGGGGUAAGAGAGGACACUGAGGAUACUUGUCUUCCAUAUACUGCUCAAUACAAAACAAGCCCGUUAAUUGCUAAUAUAUCACUGCACAAGCGUUGUAAGAGUUAAUUUUGUAAGCUCAAAAAUGCAGUGAAGAGUUGCAGCUUACCAAAAUGAUUGCGAACGAGUCGGAAACAACAAAAUCCCCAUCCACUAAUGCUGGGACAAACUUAACAGGAUUGAUUUUCUCAUAAUCUACAAAGGGAAGCAGCAAGAACAAUGAAAUAACAUCAUGAACUACUAAAAAGAACAUGAAGCAUACCGCAUACGUAACAUAACGCAGCUUCUACAAAAUCAUAGUAGCAAAAGGAUCAAAUAGUUGUGUACUCAGAUCCAGGAAAAUAGGUAUCAAACUUUCAUUUAUGCUACUGAUAAGCAGCUUUCCUUUACACCAUUGACACCGGAGAACUGCUUAAUUUGCCAUCAGAAAUGGUACCCUCCGAGCAAGUGACGAUUUCAUUGUAAAGAAAAAAAAAGAGCAGAGAUUCAGCUGUAUACCUGGAUCUGUCAUCGGGUUGGUCGCUCUGUACUCGAAAUCCACACCUUUAUGAUUGGGGGAAAUGGUAUAAUUAGUACAUACAGUAGCAAAUAGUACCAGUACUAAUAAGAUCUAAACAGCUCUUAUGAACUUUGGUGAAAUUUGGGAGCUAUUUUCUCUGAAUCACAUCACUGGUGAGGAAAAGCUCUUCAUCCCGGAUCUAACUGAUAAAGCUGAGCUAGAGCUUUGGCAAUCAAGCACCCAUAAUCCUCACAAUAGACUUUUCAAAAGAAAAAUCCUCACAAUUUGUGAUCCCGCGACCUAUGCGGCAGAAUCAAGAAGCGAGGCUAGCUGGUACGCGUACCUUUGAGGUUAAGGGCGAUCCGAACCCGGUGCGAGCAGGAGCUGAACCAUUUGCUGUACAGGAUCGGCUUCCCCGUUGCUGCCGACAUGGCUGCCUCCUCCUUCCGCAUCCCAAUUCCGCUCAAUUGUUUUCUCUGGGGAAACGGUAGUACGAAGCACUAGAGUUUAUCCUUCCGUGUGUGUUUUUUCUUUAGAGAAAAUAUCGUUCUAUCUAUGUCUAUAUCUAUAUCAAUAUAAAAAGAUUCAAAGAGGCAGAUUCAAUUUAUCUCGGUCAUCAAAUCAUGUCAAUCCAACGACCUAGACUGUUUCAAUGUCAAACGCUUAACACGUUUAGCGUGCAAUUAAUUUCAUGUCCAAUAUAGUAAUAAUCACAAAAUAACAUGCAAAUAAUAUUUUACUUAAUAUCUGCAUACACUUAAUAUACUUCCAAAUUAACGUGCAUUGCACAUACACAUUGACUAGUACUUGAAAAAGAGGCUUCUAGGUCAAAGCAAUUUUGUAGGAUAGGACAAUGCACGUGCCUUAUAGUGGGGUGUAAAUAUUCUAGCAUGUCAGUUUAUGAUUUACCUGCUUAUAUUAAUGCGAUUUUUAUAAAAUAAAUGUUUACCAAAUCCGGUCUCUGAUUUAACUUAUAUUUUAAUAAGAAAUUUGAUAAGUAAUUAAAGUGCAAUUGAUUUAGAAGAUAAGCAAAUUAAGAUGAUUGAUUGUCGUAUAUGAAAAAAAUGAAAUAUUAAGCCUUACAUUCUAUUAGAGACAGUGAGGUUCUAUCAACUAGGUCCUUAAAGGCGACUCUCCUACGGCCUAUUUUUUGUUUUUGCUAUUGCUAAUGACCGUCGGCAUACAUGCUUCAUUGACAGCCUUCAAAUGGUACUAGGGUAGUGGACCCCCAUUUGAUCAUGGAUCACAUUUUCAACUUCUUUUCCUCGCUCCUCGCUGCCAGGCCGACCUCGGGCCUCAUCAUCUCCCCUAACCUCUGGACUCAGGACAAACGGGUUUUGGUUGACGAGAAUGCGGCCCUAAUGAUUUCUGAUACGUCUCCAACGUAUCUAUAAUUUUUUAUUGUUUCAUACUAUUAUAUUAUUAUUUUUGGAUGUUAAUGGGCUUUAUUUUACACUUUUAUAUUACUUUUGGGACUAACCUAUUAACCGAAGGCCCAGCCAAAAUUGUUGUUUUUUGCCUAUUUCAGUGUUUCAUAAAAAAGGAAUAUCAAACGGAGUCCAAACGGAAUGAAACCUUCGGAAACGUGAUUUUUGAAACAAACGUGAUCCAGGAGACUUAAAAUGGACGUCAAGCAAUCAACGAGGCGGCCAUGAGGCAGGGGACGCACCCACCCCUCUGGCGCGCCCUCCACCCUCGUGGGCCCCUCGUUGCUCAACCGACCUACUUCUUCCUCCUAUAUAUAUCCAUAUACCCCGCAAACAUCCAGGAGCACCACGAACCCCUAUUUCCACCGUCGCAACCUUUUGUACCCAAGAGAUCCCAUCUUGGCCUUUUCCGGAGCUCCGCCGGAGGGGGCAUUGAUUACGAAGGGCCUCUACAUCAACUCCAUGGCCUCUCCGAUGAUGUGUGAGUAGUUUACCUCAGACCUACGGGUCCAUAGCUAGUAGCUAAAUGGCUUCUUCUCUCUCUUUGGAUCUCAAUACAAAGUUCUCCUCGAUUCUCUUGGAGAUCUAUUCGAUGUAACUCUUUUUGCGGUGUGUUUGUCGAGAUCCGAUGAAUUGUAGGUUUAUGAUCAAGUCUAUCUAUGAACAAUAUUUGAAUCUUCUCUGAAUUCUUUUAUGCAUGAUUGGUUUAUCUUUGCAAGUCUUUUCGAAUUAUCAGUUUGGUUUGGCCUACUAGAUUGAUCUUUCUUGCAAUGGGAUAAGUGUUUAGCUUUGGGUUCAAUCUUGCGGUGCUCGAUCCCAGUGACAGAAAAGGAAACGACACGUAUUGUAUUGUUGUCAUCGAGGAUAAAAAGAUGGGGUUUGUAUCAUAUUGCAUGAGUUUAUCCCUCUACAUCAUGUCAUCUUGCUUAAGGCAUUACUCUGUUCUUAUGAACUUAAUACUUUAGAUGCAUGCUGGAUAGCGGUCGAUGUGUGGAGUAAUAGUAGUAGAUGCAGAAUCGCUUCGGUCUACUUGUCUCGGACGUGAUGCCUAUAUACAUGAUCAUGCCUAGAUAUUCUCAUAAUUAUUCGCUUUUCUAUCAAUUGCUCGACAGUAAUUUGUUCACCCAUCGUAAUACUUAUGCUAUCUCGAGAGAAGCCACUAGUGAAACCUAUGCCCCCCGGGUCUAUUUUCCAUCAUACAUGUUUCUAAUCUAUUUUAUUUUCUAAUAUUUACUUUCAAUCUAUAUCAUAAAAAUACCAAAAAUAUUUAUCUUAUUAUUAUCAUCUCUAUCAGAUCUCACUCUUGCAAGUGGCCGUGAAGGGAUUGACAACUCCUUUAUUGCGUUGGUUGCGAGGUUUUUAUUUGUUUGUGUAGGUACGAGGUGACUCGCGCGUGGUCUCCUACUAGAUUGAUAUCUUGGUUCUCAAAAACCGAGGGAAAUACUUACGCUGCUUUACUGCAUCACCCUUUCCUCUUCAAGGGAAAACCAACGCAGUGCUCAAGAGGUAGCAAUUCCUCUCUCUAUUGAGGAAAUCGAGAUGGCCAUCAAUUAUGCUAAUAUCAACUCGGCCUCGGACCCGGAUGGCUUCUCGAUCCCAUUCUUUAAGCGCUUCUGACCCUCUCUCCGCACGUGGUGUGUAGGAUCAUACAAGGAUUCUGGCUUGGCACUGUCGACAUUUCCCGUCUGAAUUAUGUCAUUCUCACUCUCAUUCCCAAGUUCAAGGGCGUCGACUCCAUUUCUCAGUUCCGUCCCAUCGCGCUGAUAAAUAACUUCGCGAAGUUUCCUGCGAAAGGCAUGGCGACUAGGUUAACCCUCGUGGCACAUCGCACUAUUAGCCCGUCCCAGUCUGCCUUUAUUAAGGGUAGAUUUAUUCCAUAUGGUAUUCUCUGCUUACAUGAGAUUGUGCUUGAUCUUAGGAAGAGGGGCUCCAAGGCCUUGAUCCUUAAACUCGACUUCGAGAAAGCCUACGAUUCGGUUAGCUGGGAUUUCCUACGCCACGUUCUGCUUGCUAAGGGUUUUGACCCAGGGGUUGUUCACCGACUGAUGCAGUUGGUGUCUGGUGGUCAUACAGCGGUAGCUGUGAAUGGAUCCAUAAGCAAUUACUUUGCCAAUGGUCGUGGCCUUCGGCAAGGGGAUCCGGCUUAUCCUAUUUUGUUCAAUUUUGUUGCCAAUGCUUUAUCUUGCAUGAUGGAUAGGGCAGCUUCGGCCGGCCAUAUCUCUCCCGUGAUAUCUCACCUUCUCCCUGAGGGUCUCACCCAUCUCCAGUAUGCGGACGAUAUGACCGUUCUCGUGGAGUUGAAUGACUCAUGUAUUGCCAAUCUCAAAUUUAUUCUUCUCUGUUUUGAAGCCUUGUCGGGGCUCAAAAUUAACUUUUCUAAGAGUGAGGUUAUUGUCACUAGUGUUGACGAGGCUGAAGCGUUGCGGGGUUCCCAGUUGCUCAAUUGCUCCUUGGGAGCCUUUCCCUUCAAAUAUUUGGGUCUCCCUAUUUCCCCUUGGUGGCUAAGGUGGGGAAUGUUAGGGAACGUAGCAGAAAUUUAAAAAAAUUCUACGCAUCACCAAGAUCAAUCUAUGGAGUCAUCUAGCAACGAGGGGAAUAGGAGUGCAUCUACAUACCCUUGUAGAUCGCAAGCGGAAGCGUUCAAGAGAACCGGGUUGAUGGAGUUGUACUCGUUGUGAUCCAAAUCACCGAUGACCGAGCGCCGAACGGACGGCACCUCUGCGUUCAACACACGUAUGGUUGGGGAAGACGUCUCCUCCUUCUUGAUCCAGCAAGGGGGGAGAAGAGGUUGAUGGAGAUCCAGCAGCACGACGGCAUAGUGGUGGAAGCAUCGGUGAUCUCGGCAGGGCUUCGCCAAGCUCAGCGAGAGGGAGAGGUGUCACGGGAGGGAGAGAGAGGCGCGCGGGGGCUAGGGUGUGCAGCCCUCCCUUCCCCCUCUUUAUAUAGGGGUCCAGGAGGGCGCCGGCCCCUCUAGAUCCCAUCUAGAUGGGGGGUGGCGACCAAGGGGGUGGCUUGCCCCCCAAGCCAAGUGGGGCGCCCCCACCCCUAGGGUUUCCAACCCUAGGCGCAGGGGGAGGCCCAAGGGGGGCGCACCAGCCCAUCAGGGGCUGGUUCCCCUCCCACUUCAGCCCAUGGGGCCCUCCGGGAUAGGUGGCCCCAGCCGGUGGACCCCCGGGACCCUUCCGGUGGUCCCGGUACAAUACCGGUGACCCCCGAAACUUUCCCGAUGGCCGAAACUGGACUUCCUAUAUACAAUUCUUCACCCCCGGACCAUUCCGGAACUCCUCGUGACGUCCGGGAUCUCAUCCGGGACUCCGAACAACUUUCGGGUUACCGCAUACUAAUAUCUCAACAACCCUAGCGUCACCGAACCUUAAGUGUGUAGACCCUACCGGUUCGGGAGACACGCAGACAUGACCGAGACGACUCUCCGGACAAUAACCAACAGCAGGUUAUGGAUACCCAUGUUGGAUCCCACAUGCUCCUCGAUGAUCUCAUCGGAUGAACCACGAUGUCGAGGAUUCAAUCAAUCCCGUAUACAAUUCCCUUUGUCGAUCGGUACGUUACUCGCCCGAGACUCGAUCGUUGCUAUCCCAAUACCUCGUUCAAUCUCGUUACCGGCAAGUCACUUUACUCGUAUCGUAAUGCAUGAUCCCGUGAUCAACCACUUGGUCACAUUGAGCUCAUUAUGAUGAUGCAUUACCGAGUGGGCCCAGAGAUACCUCUUUGUCAUAUGGAGUGACAAAUCCCAGUCUCGAUUCGUGCCAACCCAACAGACACUUUCGGAGAUACCCGUAGUGCACCUUUAUAGUCACCCAGUUACGCUGUGACGUUUGGCACACCCAAAGCACUCCUACGGUAUCCGGGAGUUGCACAAUCUCAUGGUCUAAGGAAAUGAUACUUGACAUUCGGAAAAGCUCUAGCAAACGAACUACACGAUUUUGUGCUAUGCUUAGGAUUGGGUCUUGUCCAUCACAUCAUUCUCCUAAUGAUGUGAUCCCGUUAUAAAUGACAUCUAAUGUCCAUAGUCAGGAAACCAUGACUAUCUUUUGAUCAACGAGCUAGUCAACUAGAGGCUCACUAGGGACGUGUUGUGGUCUAUGUAUUCACACAUGUAUUACGAUUUCUGGAUAACACAAUUAUAGCAUGAACAAUAGACAAUUAUCAUGAACAAGGAAAUAUAAUAAUAACCAUUUUAUUAUUGCCUCUAGGGCAUAUUUCCAACAGUCUCCCACUUGCACUAGAGUCAAUAAUCUAGUUACAUUGUGAUGAAUCGAACACCCAUAGAGUUUUGGUGUUGAUCAUGUUUUGCUCUAGGGAGAGGUUUAGUCAACGGAUCUGCUACAUUCAGGUUCGUAUGUACUUUAAAAAUAUCUAUGUCUCCAUUUUGAACACUUUCACGAAUGGAGUUGAAGCGACGCUUGAUAUGCCUGGUCUUCCUGUGAAACCUCGGCUCCUUGGCAAGGGCAAUAGCUCCAGUGUUAUCACAGAAGAGAGUCAUCAGGCCCGACGCAUUGGGAAUGACUCCUAGGUCGGUAAUGAACGCCUUCAUCCAGAUUGCUUCUUGUGCUGCCUCCAAGGCUGCCAUGUACUCCGCUUCACAUGUAGAUCCCGCCACAAUGCUUUGCUUGCAACUGCACCAGCUUACUGCCCCACCAUUCAAAAUAUACACGUAUCUGGUUUGUGACUUAGAGUCAUCCAGAUCUGUAUUGAAGCUAGCAUCGACGUAACCCUUUACGACGAGCUCUUCGUCACCUCCAUAAACGAGAAACAUAUCCUUAGUCAUCUUCAGGUACUUCACGAUAUUCUUGACCGCUAUCCAGUGUUCCAUGCCGGGAUUACUUUGGUACCUUCCUACCAAACUUACGGCAAGGUUUACAUCAGGUCUGGUACACAGCAUGGCAUACAUAAUAGACCCUAUGGCCCAGGCAUAGGGGACGACACUCAUCUUUUCUCUAUCUUCUGCCGUGGUUGGGCAUUGAGCCAUGCUCAAUUGCACACCUUGCAAUACAGGCAAGAACUCCUUCUUGGACUGAUCCAUAUUGAACUUCUUUAAUAUCUUGUCAAGGUACAUACUUUGUGAAAGACCAAUGAGGCGUCUCGAUCUAUCUCUAUAGAUUUUGAUGCCUAAUAUAUAAGCAGCUUCUCCAAGGUCCUUCAUUGAAAAACACUUGUUCAAGUAGGCCUUUAUGCUUUCCAAGAAUUCUAUAUCAUUUCCCAUCAACAGUAUGUCAUCCACAUAUAAUAUGAAAAAUGCUACGGAGCUCCCACUCACUUUCUUGUAAACACAGGCUUCUCUAUAAGUCUGCGUAAACCCAAACGCUUUGAUCAUCUCAUCAAAACGAAUGUUCCAACUCCGAGAUGCUUGCACCAGCCCAUAGAUUGAGCGUUGGAGCUUGCACACCUUGUUAGCAUUCUUAGGAUCGACAAAACCUUCCGGCUGCAUCAUAUACAAUUCUUCCUUAAGAAAGCCGUUAAGGAAUGCCGUUUUGACGUCCAUUUGCCAUAUCUCAUAAUCAUAGAAUGCGGCAAUUGCUAACAUGAUUCGGACGGACUUCAGCUUCGCUACGGGUGAGAAAGUCUCAUCGUAGUCAACCCCUUGAACUUGUCGAUAACCCUUAGCGACGAGUCGAGCCUUGUAGAUGGUCACAUUACCAUCUGCGUCUAUCUUCUUUUUAAAGAUUCAUUUAUUUUCUAUGGCUCGCCGAUCAUCGAGCAAGUCAGUCAAAGUCCAUACUUCGUUUUCAUACAUGGAUCCUAUCUCGGAUUUCAUGGCUUCUAGCCAUUUGUCGGAAUCUGGGCCCGCCAUCGCUUCCUCAUAGUUCAAAGGUCCACCGUUGUCUAACAACAUGAUUUCCAGGACAUGGUUGUCGUACCACUCUGGUGCGGAACAUGUCCUUGUGGACCUACGAAGUUCAGUAGCAACUUGAUCUGAAGUUUCAUGAUCAUCAUCAUUAACUUCCUCUCUAGUCGGUGCAGGCACCUCAGGAACAUUUUCCUGAGUUGCGCCAUUUUCCGGUUCAAGAGGUAAUACUUCAUCAAGUUCUACUUUCCUCCCACUUACUUCUUUCGAGAGAAACUCUUUCUCUAGAAAGGAUCCAUUCUUGGCAACAAAGAUCUUGCCUUCGGAUCUGAGGUAGAAGGUAUACCCAAUAGUUUCUUUAGGGUAUCCUAUGAAGACACAUUUUUCUGACUUGGGUUUGAGCUUUUCAGGUUGAAGUUUCUUGACAUAAGCAUUGCAUCCCCAAACUUUUAGAAACGACAGCUUAGGUUUCUUCCCAAACCAUAAUUCAUACGGUGUCGUCUCAACGGAUUUCGACGGAGCCCUAUUUAAAGUGAAUGCGGCAAUCUCUAAAGCAUAGCCCCAAAAUGACAGUGGUAGAUCGGUAAGAGACAUCAUAGAUCGCACCAUAUCCAAUAGAGUGCGAUUACGACGCCUGGACACACCAUUAUGCUGAGGUGUUUCAGGCGGCGUGAGUUGUGAAACUAUUCCAUAUUUCCUUAAGUGCGUGCCAAAUUCGUGACUCAAGUAUUCUCCCCCAUGAUCUGAUCGCAAGAACUUGAUUUUCCUGUCACGUUGAUUCUCAACCUCACUCUGAAAUUCCUUGAACUUUUCAAAGGUCUCAGACUUGUCUUUCAUUAAGUAGACAUACCCAUAUCUACUCAAGUCAUCAGUGAGGGUGAGAACAUAACGAUAGCCACCGCGAGCCUCAACACUCAUUGGACCGCACACAUCAGUAUGUAUGAUUUCCAAUAAGUUGGUUGCUCGCUCCAUUGUUCCGGAGAACGGAGUCUUGGUCAUUUUACCCAUGAGGCAUGGUUCGCAUGUGUCAAAUGAUUCGUAAUCAAGAGACUCCAAAAGUCCAUCUGCAUGGAGCUUCUUCAUGCGUUUGACACCUAUGUGACCAAGGCGGCAGUGCCACAAGUAUGUGGGACUAUCAUUAUCAACCUUACAUCUUUUGGUAUUCACACUAUGAAUAUGUGUAACAUUACGCUCGAGAUUCAUUAAGAAUAAACCAUUCACCAGCGGGGCAUAACCAUAAAACAUAUCUCUCAUAUAAAUAGAACAACCAUUAUUCUUGGAUUUAAAUGAGUAGCCAUCUCGAAUUAAACGAGAUCCUGAUACAAUGUUCAUGCUCAAAGCUGGCAUUAAAUAACAAUUAUUGGGGUUUAAAACUAAUCCCGUAGGUAAAUGUAGAGGUAGCGUGCCGACGGCGAUCACAUCGACCUUGGAACCAUUCCCGACGCUCAUCGUCACCUCGUCCUUCGCCAGUCUCCGCUUAUUCUGCUGCUCCUGCUUUGGGUUACAAAUGUGAGCAACCGCACCGGUAUCAAAUACACAGGAGCUACUAUGAGUACCGGUAAGGUACACAUCAAUUACAUGUAUAUCACAUAUACCUUUAGUGUUGUCGGCCUUCUUGUCCGCUAAGUAUUUGGGGCAGUUCCGCUUCCAAUGACCACUUCCCUUGCAAUAAAAACACUCAGUCUCGGGCUUGGGUCCAUUCUUUGGCUUCUUCCCGGCAGCUUCCUUACCGGGCGCGGCAACCCCCUUGUCGUCCUUCUUGAAGUUCUUCUUACCCUUGCCUUUCUUAAACUUAGUGGUUUUAUUCACCAUCAACACUUGAUGUUCCUUUUUGAUCUCCACCUCCGCUGACUUCAGCAUUGAAUGUACCUCAAGAAUGGUCUUUUUCAUCCCCUACAUAUUGAAGUUCAUCACAAAGCUCUUGUAGCUCGGUGGAAGCGACUGAAGGAUUCUGUCAAUGACCGCAUCAUCCGGGAGAUUAACUCCCAGCUGAGUCAAGCGGUUGUGCAACCCAGACAUUUUGAGUAUGUGUUCACUGACAUAACUAUUUUCCUCCAUCUUACAACUGAAGAACUUGUCGGGGACUUCAUAUCUCUCGACCUGGGCAUGAGCUUGGAAAACCAUUUUCAGCUCUUCGAACAUCUCAUAUGCUCCGUGUUGCUCAAAACGCCUUUGGAGCCCCGGUUCUAAGCUGUAAAGCAUGCCGCACUGAAUGAGGGAGUAAUUAUCAGCACGCUGCUGCCAAGUGUUCAUAACGUCUUGGUUCUCUGGGAUGGGUGCGUCACCUAGCGGUGCUUCUAAGACAUAAUCUUUCUUGGCAGCUAUGAGGAUGGUCCUCAGGUUCCAGACCCAGUCCGUAUAGUUGCUGCCAUCAUCUUUCAGCUUGGUUUUCUCUAGGAACGCGUUGAAGUUGAGGGCAACAUUAGCGUGGGCCAUUUGAUCUACAAGACAUAUUGUAAAUAUUUUAGACUAAGUUCAUGAUAAUUAAGUUCAUCUAAUUAAAUUAUUCAAUGAACUCCCACUCAUAUAGACAUCCCUCUAGUCAUCUAAGUGAAACAUGAUCCGAGUCAACUAGGCCGUGUCCGAUCAUCACGUGAGACGGACUAGUCAACAUCGAUGAACAUCUUCAUGUUGAUCGUAUCUUCUAUACGACUCAUGCUCGACCUUUCGGUCUUCCGUGUUCCGAGGCCAUGUCUAUACAUGCUAGGCUCGUCAAGUCAACCUAAGUGUAUUGCGUGUGUAAAUCUGGCUUACACCCGUUGUAUUCGAACGUUAGAAUCUAUCACACCCGAUCAUCACGUGGUGCUUCGAAACAACAAACCUUCGCAACGGUGCACAGUUAGGGGGAACACUUUCUUGAAAUUAUUAUGAGGGAUCAUCUUAUUUAAGCUACCGUCGUUCGAAGCAAAUAAGAUGUAAAACAUGAUAAACAUCACAUGCAAUCAAAUAGUGACAUGAUAUGGCCAAUAUCACUUUGCUCCUUAUGAUCUCCAUCUUUGGGGCGCCAUGGUCAUCGUCGUCACCGGCAUGACACCAUGAUCUCCAUCAUCGUGUCUUCAUGAAGUUGUCUCAUCAUAUAUUACUUCUACUACUAUGGCUAACGGUUUAGCAAUAAAGUAAAGUAAUUACAUGACGUUAUAUAUUGACACGCAGGUCAUAAAUAAAUUAAGACAACUCCUAUGGCUCCUGCCGGUUGUCAUACUCAUCGACAUGCAAGUCAUGAUUCCUAUUACAAGAACAUGAUCAAUCUCAUACAUCACAUAUAUCAUUCAUCACAUCCCUUUGGCCAUAUCACAUCACACGACACAUGCUGCAAAAACAAGUUAGACGUCCUCUAAUUGUUGUUGCAAAUUUUUACGUGGCUGCUAUAGGUUUCUUAGUAAGAAUGUUUCUUACCUACGUGAAAACCACAAUGUGAUAUGCCAAUUUCUAUUUACCCUUCAUAAGGACCCUUUUCAUCGAAUCCGAUCCGACUAAAGUGGGAGAGACAGACACCCGCUAGCUAACUUAUGCAACUAGUGCAUGUCAGUCGGUGGAACCAGUCUCACGUAAGCGUACGUGUAAGGUUGGUCCGGGCCGCUUCAUCCCACGAUGUCGCCGAAUCAAGAUAAGACUAGUAACGGUAAGUAAAUUGACAAAAUCAACGCCCACAACAACUUGUGUUCUACUCGUGCAUAAAAACUACGCAUAAACCUGACUCUGAUACCACUGUUAAGGAACGUAGCAGAAAUUUAAAAAUUUUCUACGCAUCACCAAGAUCAAUCUAUGGAGUCAUCUAGCAACGAGGGGAAUAGGAGUGCAUCUACAUACCCUUGUAGAUCGCGAGCGGAAGCGUUCAAGAGAACGGGGUUGAUGGAGUUGUACUCGUCGUGAUCCAAAUCACCGAUGACCGAGCGCCGAACGGACGGCACCUCCGCGUUCAACACACAUACGGUUGGGGAAGACGUCUCCUCCUUCUUGAUCCAGCAAGGGGCAAGGAGAGGUUGAUGGAGAUCCAGCAGCACGACGGCGUAGUGGUGGAAGAAGCGGUGAUCUCGGCAGGGCUUCGCCAAGCUUAGCGAGAGGGAGAGGUGUCACGGGAGGGAGAGGGAGGCGCGCGGGGGCUAGGGUGCGCAGCCCUCCCUCCCCCCUCUUUAUAUAGGGGUCUAGGGGGCGCCGACCCCUCUAGAUCCCAUCUAGAUGGGGGGGCGGCGGCCAAGGGGGGUGGCUUGCCCCCCAAGCCAAGUGGGGCGCCCCCACCCCUAGGGUUUCCAACCCUAGGCGCAGGGGGAGGCCCAAGGGGGGCGCACCAGCCCAUCAGGGGCUGAUUCCCAUCCCACUUCAGCCCAUGGGGCCCUCCGAGAUAGGUGGCCCCACCCGGUGGACCCCCGGGACCCUUUCGGUGGUCCCGGUACAAUACCGGUGACCCCCAAAACUUUCCCGGUGGCCGAAACUGGACUUCCUAUAUACAAUUCUUCACCCCCGGACCAUUCCGGAACUCCUCGUGACAUCUGGGAUCUCAUCCGGGACUCUGAACAACUUUCGGGUUACCGCAUACUAAUAUCUCAACAACCCUAGCGUCACCGAACCUUAAGUGUGUAGACCCUACGGGUUCGGGAGACACGCAAACAUGACCGAGAUGACUCUUCGGUCAAUAACCAACAGCAGGAUCUGGAUACCCAUGUUGGCUCCCACAUGCUCCUCGAUUAUCUCAUCGGAUGAACCAUGAUGUCGAGGAUUCAAUCAAUCCCGUAUACAAUUCCCUUUGUCAAUCGGUACGUUACUCGCUGAGACUCGAUCGUCGGUAUCCCAAUACCUCGCUCAAUCUCGUUACUGACAAGUCACUUUACUCGUACCGUAAUGCAUGACCUCGUGAUCAACCACUUGGUCACAUUGAGCUCAUUAUGAUGAUGCAUUACCGAGUGGGCCUAGAGAUACCUCUCCGUCAUACGGAGUGACAAAUCCCAGUCUCGAUUCGUGCCAACCCAAUAGGCACUUUCGGUGAUACCCGUAGUGCACCUUUAUAGUCACCCAGUUACGUUGUGACGUUUGACACACCCAAAGCACUCCUACGGUAUCCGGGAGUUGCACAAUCUCAUGGUCUAAGGAAAUGAUACUUGACAUUCGGAAAAGCUCUAGCAAACGAACUACACGAUCUUGUGCUAUGAUUAGGAUUGGGUCUUGUCCAUCACAUCAUUCUCCUAAUGAUGUGAUCUCGUUAUCAAUGACAUCUAAUGUCCAUAGUCAGGAAACCAUGACUAUCUUUUGAUCAACGAGCUAGUCAACUAGAGGCUCACUAGGGACGUGUUGUGGUCUAUGUAUUCACACAUGUAUUACGAUUUCCGGAUAACACAAUUAUAGCAUGAACAAUAGACAAUUAUCAUGAACAAGGAAAUAUAAUAAUAACCAUUUUAUUAUUGCCUCUGGGGCAUAUUUCCAUCAGGGAACAAAGUUUUACCUUGGCGUGGCAGAUAUAACACUUCUGCUGGAAAAGUAGCCCUUAUUAAUUCAUGCCUUUCUUCCUUACCGAUGUUCUCUAUGGGCUUCUUCAGAUUAACUAAAGGCACCCACGCAGGUUUUGACAAACAUAGAGGGGCCUUCUUUUGGAACUCUGCUGAGAACAAGCGUAAAUAUAGACUAGUUAGAUGGGCUACCAUUUGCAAACCUAAAAGCCCUGGGGGGGGGGGCUCGAGAUUGUCUAACACACUGGUCAUGAAUACGUGUCUCAUUGUGAAAUGGUGGUGGAGGAUCCUGACCAGCAACCCUGGUACUUUAUGGCUUGAGAUCUUAAGAGCAAAAUAUUUCCCUAAUGGCAGCCCUAUGUUUACGGUAGCGACCGGGGCUUCCCAGUUUUGGACUGAUCUUGUCAAAGUUAGGGAGGUGUUCCGCCUCCAUGUUAAGUUUGUGGUCAACGUCGUGGCCUCGACCCAUUUCUGGUUGGACUGGUGGACUGGGGAUACCCCCCUUGCGUCCUCCUUUCCAGUUCUUUUCUCGUACUACUCCAAUCCCGAGAUCUCAAUCUUUGAGCUCUCGCACAACGGUUGGGGCUUGGGAUUUCGGAGGUCCCUCUAUCCUGUAGAGUUGGGCGACUGGCACCGUCUUGCUGCUAUAUUCCUGUAAGUGCAUAUAGUGCCACCCCUAGUUGGUUUUGGAGUAUUGACGACAAACUUGGUUGAGGGACUAAUGUGUUUGUGAGAAUUGCAGGAUAACACAGGUAGUAGUCCCUUAUUGAUUCGGUUUACCUACCAGAGAUGACCCCUAAAAAUGUGUGAAGACAUUGAAGACAAUGGUGGUUCGUGAAGACAUUCACGAUGAAGAUUAUGGCAUGAAAGACAUUCAUAUGAAGACUAUGGAGUGCGAAGACAUGGUUGUUCACCAGGCUGGCGUGGCCGAGACCAAACACCGUAGGGGGUAGUUGUACCCCCCAACCAAAACACCACAACCUCAGAUGUUUGCCCCUAAAGGGGUAAUUGGUCGCGGGGCCUUGGGUGGGCGUGUCAACCACUUACGCCACCUUUCUUCCUUCUCUCCCACCCGACUUGUAGCCUCCCCCCUCACACACAGAGAGAGAGAAUCUUCUCAGAAAUCCAAACAAAAUCGGCGCCAUUUGCUCAUGGUUGAUCCCCUUGGCAUCAUUUGAGGUAACUUCUCUCGUCUCCCAUGAUUUGAUCGCAUUGUUCCUAUCCAAACCCUUGUUUGGGUAUUUCACUCAAUUCCAUUUGUUCAAGUGGUUAAAUAAUGAUUAGUAUGAUGUUUGUGAUGCGUAAUAAGUACUAGGGUAUAUUUGUGAUUUUUUGCCAUGGAUGAACUAGAGUUAGGCUUAGGGCUAGGGUUUAUGUUAGAGGAAAGAAGACAAGUAAGGGUGUGACCUAUUUUAGAUAGUAUUUUACUUGAUGCUAUAUUUCUUGUGAUGCGCUUUAGGUAUUACACCAUACAACUUUCAUUGAUGCAUUAUAUUGCUUGCCAUUUCUUUUUAGAUGGCGAGAAUCGUUAAUGUUCAUUAUGUGGAGAAUGCAACAAUUUUAAGUAACAACACCGAGAUUGUUGCCGACGAGGAGAUAGCCAUGUAUUUGUGAGAAGUCCUAGUUAUGAUGAGGUUGUGGAAUAGUAAGAAAUGUUCAUUUCAAUUAUAAGGAAUGUAUAAUGUUGGUCCAAGACCUAGUUCUUGAAUGAAGGUAAUGCCUAUCACUUCUGAGUUGGAUUGAGGGGCAUACAAAGAGGUUGUUGCGGCCUCUCAAGACAAGUCUCUCAAAUUAUUUGCCAUGAAGGUCGAAGGCCCUUGGUUGGAUGUUGACUUAUUCUUUUUUGCGAAGCAAUUGCAUGUUGACUUAAACGGGUGUGUAUCUGCAUGUGAUGAUAUGAGCCCAACUAGAAGUGAAGUGCACCACUUGUUGAGGGUAGGAUCGAGGUUUUAUGGCCCCAAUCCUAUGAACCAAGCAAAUGAGUAUGAGGUGAAUGAUAGUGACCAAGUCGAUGAACAAGAUGGUGGUGUCAAUGCCGAACAAGGUUAUGACAUGGAUGGAGAUGGGGGCUGGUGAUGUAGAUAGUGAUGACUUGGAGAAAAAGGAUGAAAUUCAUGAGAAUGAUUUUGGAGAUAUGAAAACACAAGUCAUGGUGCAGGACAUGGAGUGUGACAUCUCGUAUGGAAGUGCCAUCCCUCCGACUCUAAGGAUGAUGGCCUGGAGAAUAUUUGAACAAAAAAUGGCUUCAAGGCAAAAGAAGCCCAAUGCUUCUCAAAACUUUUAGGUCGGGAUCAUCGAAUAUCAUUGUUCCAUGAUUUUAGCCUCAUCUUCUAUAUCUAAAUAGCUAGCCCCCACUAAGGUAUUUCUCUUAACAUGCAAGCAUGUCACCUCAUCAUUCAACAUGCAUAAGAAAAGGCCCACCUCAACAUGCAACUAUGCAUAUUAAAAAUUCACUACGACAUGCAUGCAUGUAAAAUUCCAUUUUAUUAUGCUAUUUACAUUUAAUUCUUAUAUACUUUCAAAAACUAUUGUUUCAAGAAUUCAUGUUCCAUAUAAUCAAAAUCUCAUUGAAAUAUUGCAAACAUUUUCGCAACAACGUGCGGGGCAUCAUCUAGUUGAUAAGGUUUUUGGACCCUUGUAUCAGACCCGGUAUUCAGGCUUCUUAUACAAAUGGAGUCGGGAGAGCUCUCCCUGUUAAUCUAAAAAAAUGACAAGAUAUCACCAUGCAGAUUUCUGAUUCUCCAAGAUACUUCAUUAACAAAGUGUAACAUUUUUAUUUGCCCUAAAAAUAAUAGCAUUUCUACACUUCCAAAUAGACCAAAACAUAGCAGAGAUGCCAACCAGAUAAGUCUUUCAUCAGCUUUCUUGAAUGUUUUCAGCUCAAAGAACCGAUCAUCAGACGACACACAAGUAUUUAAGCGCAAAUCACUUUCCGGCCUCGGAAAAUUAGAGGUCGUCCAAUCGAACGACAUCGCUCGCAAAUUAGAUUCAAGCUAUCCAAUCAACAUCAGCAAUAAAUACAAAUCCAAGAGAAAGAAAAACAUCAGUUAUAAAUACAAGUCAAUUCUUCAAAUCACCUUUUUUUUCCUUGAACCGAAACAGAGGAAGAAGGAGAAGAGGGUUAAAGGAACCAAAGCCGAACAAAAGCCCUACAAGCUAACAUUAGCAAACCAAGACCAUUCUCCUUGGCCCAAACAAAUCCAAAGCUUCUGCGACGAGGCCCAAUUGGGCCUCACAAUCCCCACGUCAAUCAAUGCGUUGACCACGUCACGGGUCAC
rnacentral:lncRNA from 1 species